rnacentral:rRNA from 1 species
UCGGGAAUUUUGGGCAAUGGGCGAAAGCCUGACCCAGCAACGCCGCGUGAGGGAUGAAGUAUUUCGGUAUGUAAACCUCGAAAGAAUGGGAAGAAUAAAUGACGGUACCAUUUAUAAGCUCCGGCUAACUACGUGCCAGCAGCCGCGGUAAUACGUAGGGAGCAAGCGUUGUUCGGAUUUACUGGGCGUAAAGGGCGCGUAGGCGGUGCGGUAAGUCACUUGUGAAAUCUCUGAGCUUAACUCAGAACGGCCAAGUGAUACUGCUGAGCUAGAGUGCGGAAGAGGCAACCGGAAUUCUUGGUGUAGCGGUGAAAUGCGUAGAUAUCAAGAGGAACACCUGAGGCGAAGGCGGGUUGCUGGGCCGACACUGACGCUGAUGCGCGAAAGCCAGGGGAGCAAACG